ACAUGGCCUCGAAGAAUGGGUAUUUCCCUCUGAGCCCUGCCUGUUUGGCCAAACGGAGGAGAAGAACGCCGUCUGCCUUGCUGCCUGCCUCACCUUGCCCGCUGCUGCUCGUCUCUGCAGACCAAGCGGAAAGCAUCACAAUUGCCGAAUGCUCAUAAAAUUAACAGCUUCCUCUGGAUGGAAAGAAAGCAGACCCAGAUUUAUGGACUGUUGAAAUGAGCAAGCCAUUGCUUAUUGAAUUUUACUCUCCCCUACAAAAUGCUACAGUUAAAAUUGUUUUAUAAAUAUUGCUUAAUAAAAAUAUGUGGUUUUUUCACAGUACUAACCACAUUUCAU
rnacentral:lncRNA from 11 species